GAAAACUGUCUUCAAUUCGAGUAGGAAUUUUUGGUAUAAAAACGUGUUCCUCCACAUCGAUUGGCAUCAGUUUAAUUCGAAUCUUCGAGUCAAGAACCAACAAAUCAAAAUGCAAAUCAUCAAAGUUGCUCUACUUGUCGCAGCUGCUGUGUUCGCUGUUUUAGCUGGCGCUCAAGCGGAACCAAUUCGUGACAUUAAUGGAAGUGUGGGAGGCGACGUUGUAGAUAAUUCAAAGGGGCAAAAAGAUUGUUAAAUAAGUGAAUGACAUCUUCAGUAUAUUAAUUCAAUUGUAGAUUGAUGACGAAAUAAAAAUGUUAUUUUAAACGUAAA